rnacentral:rRNA from 1 species
UGGUAGGGUAACGGCCUACCAAGGCAGAGACGGGUAGGGGGCGUGAGAGCGCGGACCCCCACACUGGCACUGCGACACGGGCCAGACUCCUACGGGAGGCAGCAGUAAGGAAUAUUGCGCAAUGGACGAAAGUCAGACGCAGCGACGCCGCGUGGGCGAUGAAGGCCUUCGGGUUGUAAAGCCCUUUUAUGGGGGAAGAGAAAAAGGACGGUACCCCAUGAAUAAGUCCCGGCUAACUACGUGCCAGCAGCCGCGGUAAAACGUAGGGGACAAGCGUUAUCCGGAUUCACUGGGCGUAAAGAGCGUUGAGGCGGUUCCGUAAGUUGGGCGUGAAAGCUCCGGGCUUAACCCGGAGAUGUCGUUCAAUACUGCGGGGCUUGAGGACAGCAGAGGAAGGUGGAAUUCCCGGUGUAGUGGUGAAAUGCGUAGAUAUCGGGAGGAACACCCGUGGCGAAGGCGGCCUUCUGGGCUGUUCCUGACGCUGAAGGCGAAAGCUAGGGGAGCGAACGGGAUUAGAUACCCCGGUAGUCCUAGCUGUAAACGAUGGAUGCUGGGUGUGGGGGGUGUAAAUUCCCUCUGUGCCGAAGCAAACGCGUUAAGCAUCCCGCCUGGGGACUACGGCCGCAAGGCUAAAACUCAAACGAAUUGACGGGGGCCCGCACAAGCAGCGGAGCGUGUGGUUUAAUUCGAUGCUACACGAAGAACCUUACCUGGGUUUGACAUGCACGUGGUAGGGAACCGAAAGGGGACCGACCUUCGGGAGCGUGCACAGGUGCUGCAUGGCUGUCGUCAGCUCGUGCCGUGAGGUGUCGGGUUAAGUCCCGUAACGAGCGCAACCCUUGCCCUUAGUUACAAGUGUCUAAGGGGACUGCCCGGGACAACUGGGAGGAAGGUGGGGAUGACGUCAAGUCAGCAUGGCCUUUAUAUCCAGGGCUACACACACGCUACAAUGGCCAGUACAAUAGGUAGCCAAGUCGUGAGACGGAGCCAAUCCUUAAAGCUGGUCUCAGUUCGAAUUGCAGUCUGCAACUCGACUGCAUGAAGCUGGAGUUGCUAGUAAUCGCAGGUCAGCCAUACUG